rnacentral:rRNA from 1 species
CUACGUGCCAGCAGCCGCGGUAAUACGGAAGGUCCAGGCGUUAUCCGGAUUUAUUGGGUUUAAAGGGAGCGUAGGCUGGAGAUUAAGUGUGUUGUGAAAUGUAGACGCUCAACGUCUGAAUUGCAGCGCAUACUGGUUUCCUUGAGUACGCACAACGUUGGCGGAAUUCGUCGUGUAGCGGUGAAAUGCUUAGAUAUGACGAAGAACUCCGAUUGCGAAGGCAGCUGACGGGAGCGCAACUGACGCUUAAGCUCGAAGGUGCGGGUAUCAAACAGGAUUAGAUACCCUGGUAGUCCGCACAGUAAACGAUGGAUGCCCGCUGUUGGUACCUGGUAUCAGCGGCUAAGCGAAAGCAUUAAGCAUCCCACCUGGGGAGUACGCCGGCAACGGUGAAACUCAAAGGAAUUGACGGGGGCCCGCACAAGCGGAGGAACAUGUGGUUUAAUUCGAUGAUACGCGAGGAACCUUACCCGGGCUUGAAUUGCAGAGGAAGGAUUUAGAGAUAAU